GGAUCUUGUUAAAAUGCAGGCCAUGAUCCAGUAGGUCUGGAAUGAGGCCCGAGAUUCCGCAUUUCUAACAAGUUC
ensembl:miRNA